AGUUUUCCAGGUUGGCCAGAACCCACCCAGCUGGUCCCAGGAUGGCAAGAGAAAACAUGGCCAGACCAGCUGUUGUCUCCUGUAAAAACAGACACAAGACCCAAACAACUGUUAGGUGAAUGCCAAGGAGGUCAUGGCCUGCCCUUCACGAGCUGCUAAGGAAACAACCAGCUCUCUACAGAUACUCACAACGGGCCCCAGCGCAUCCUUAGCAGGUCGCGAGGCGAUGUUGGCUCGCUGGGUGAUGGUUGAUCCCCGCAGAACCGGAGCGGUGCGGAUCCGAGCAAUUCCCCGCAGAAAUCCAGACAUCUUGCUGCUCUAAAA